rnacentral:rRNA from 1 species
AUUGAACGCUGGCGGCAUGCCUUACACAUGCAAGUCGAACGGCAGCACGGGUGCUUGCACCUGGUGGCGAGUGGCGAACGGGUGAGUAAUACAUCGGAACGUACCUUAUCGUGGGGGAUAACGCAGCGAAAGCUGUGCUAAUACCGCAUACGCACUGAGGGGGAAAGCGGGGGAUCGAAAGACCUCGCGCGAUUAGAGCGGCCGAUGCCUGAUUAGCGUGUUGGUGGGGUAAAAGCCCACCAAGGCGACGAUCAGUAGCUGGUCUGAGAGGACGAUCAGCCACACUGGGACUGAGACACGGCCCAGACUCCUACGGGAGGCAGCAGUGGGGAAUUUUGGACAAUGGGGGCAACCCUGAUCCAGCAAUGCCGCGUGAGUGAAGAAGGCCUUCGGGUUGUAAAGCUCUUUUGUCAGGGAAGAAACACCGGCUCUAACACAGUCCGGGAAUGACGGUACCUGAAGAAUAAGCACCGGCUAACUACGUGCCAGCCGCCGCGGUAA